rnacentral:SRP_RNA from 1 species
GCCGGGCAUGCUGGCGCAUGCCUGUAAUCCCAGCUACUUGGGAGGCUAAGGCACGAGAAUCACUUGAACCCAGGAGGUGGAGAUUGUAGUGAGCGGAGAUCAUGCCACUGCACUCCAGCCUGGGCAACAGAGUGAGACCCUGUCUUUA